UACGAAGGGUGCAAACGUUGCUCGGAAUUACUGGGCGUAAAGCGCGUGUAGGCGGCUUGGCAAGUCGGGUGUGAAAGCCCUGGGCUCAACCUAGGAAGUGCACUCGAAACUGCCUCGCUUGAGUGUCGGAGAGGAAAGCGGAAUUCUCGGUGUAGAGGUGAAAUUCGUAGAUAUCGAGAGGAACACCGGUGGCGAAGGCGGCUUUCUGGACGAUAACUGACGCUGAGACGCGAAAGCGUGGGGAGCAAACAGG
rnacentral:rRNA from 1 species